UGCUAUGCUGCUGCGUCCGUCUCUGCUACACUUGUCUCUCUGUCCGUCGGAAUGGCAAUCGGAACGGCAGCAGCGGCGGCGGUGCGGCGCAGCCUCGGCGCCGCAGUCCCGGACCUCGCCGUCGCCCACCUCUGCUGCCCCUCGACCCCCGUCACCUACAACGCAGCCCACCUCCCGCCCACGCCGGCCACCCUCCUCGCCCUCCUCCGCCGCGCGCCCGCGCCCGCGCCGCACCCCACCACCGCCGUGCACGCCUGCCUCCUCAAGACGGCCUACUUCCGCCCGGGGGGCUGCACCGUCCCCAACUCGCUGCUCGCCUCCUACGCAACAUCCGGCGACUCCCUUGCCGCGGCGAAGCUGUUCGACGAAAUGCCUCUUAGGGACGUCGCAUCCUGGACCUCCAUGAUGCGGGCACACCUCGCGGGGGGCUCGGCCUCCCAGGCCCUGUGCAUGUUCAGGGACAUGCUCGCUGGCGGCGACGACGCACCGGAGCCGGACGGGGUCGUCCUCGUCGUCGCGCUCCGCGCCUGCGCCGAGCUCGAGGACCUGGCGCUCGGGGCCUCCCUGCACGCCCUCAUGGAGCGCCGUGGGCUGCAGGGCUGCGAUGUCUUCGUCGCCAACUCGCUCGUCGACAUGUACGCCAGGUGCCUGGACCUGCAGUCCGCCAAGAAGGUGUUCGACAUGACCCUGAGCAGGAACGUGGUGUCCUGGAACACCAUGCUCUCCGGACUCGCGCGCACCGGCCGUGCCACCGACGCGCUAGACCUUCUUGCCUCCUCCUCGUCCUUGCUGAAAGAGGGCAGCGACAUCGGCUUCGAUGAGACGACGUUGGUGGUGCUGCUUCAGCUGUGCAAGAGGCUCGAGGGCGGCCAGGCCAUGUGGUGCCGGUCUGUCCAUGCCGCGGCCGUGAGGAGGGGGCUCCUAUUGUCCUCGACAGGCCUGCCUCUGUUGAACGCCCUGCUGGACGCAUACGCCAAGUGCGGCCUGCUUGAGCACACGGUCAGGCUGUUCCGCGGCAUGCCUGAGAGGAACAUCGUCACGUGGAGCACCGUCAUCGCUGGAUGCGUCCACAAUGGCCGGCCUGGCGAGGCGAUCGCGUGCGCCGUCGUGAUGAGGGAGGCCGGGGAGACGCCCAACUCGGUCACCAUACUGAGCGUCCUCGAGGCAUGCGCAGACUGUGCGGAGAUGGCAGCGUCGAGAUGCGCCCACGGCAUGGCGCUCAGGAGUGGGCUAGCCUUGGAGCGGGACGUCAGCAACGCUCUGGUGGACAUGUAUGGUAAAUGCGGCAACCUGGCUGCGGCGACGAGGGUGUUCAAUGCGAUGCCGCGAAGGGACGUGCUCACCUGGAACUCCAUGAUUGGCGCUCUGGGGAUGAAUGGCCGCGCACGUGAUGCCCUCGCCCUCCUCGACAGGAUGGAGCAGGAAUGGGACAUCAUGCCGAACGGUGUCACGAUGCUGGCCGUGCUGUCGGCAUGCGCGCACGGAGGUCUGGUAGAGGAGGGCGUGGCCUGCUUCGAGAGGAUGACGGCGACACACUCGGUUGAGCCACAGGUGGAGCACCUAUCGUGCGUCGUCGACAUGCUCGCGCGUGCAGGGGACCUUGAGGGGGCCGCUAGGGUCAUCGAGGAGAGGAUAUCCACCAGCAGCAGUCCAGCAGCCUGGAGUGCGCUGCUAAGCGCCUGCAGAGGCUACAGCAGCGACUCGAGUGUUGGACGUGAUGCUGCCUGCCGCGUCCUGGAGUUGGAGCCGGGCAAUGCGGCGGGGUACCUGAUGUCGAUGGGCGUGCCCGGCGCUGGCGAGACGGCAGCGCGGAUGCGACAGCUGAUGAGGGAGAGGGGAGUAGGGGUGACUGGCGGACACAGCAUGGUGCAGGUGGGGUGCAAUGCUCACAGCUUCAUGUCAUGGGAUGGAUGCCACCCUGACAGAGGGCAGGUUUACUCCAUGCUACAUCUCCUGCAUCAACAGAUGCUGCCGCCUACUCCUCCACAUCCAAACCACCAUCAUCUUACCUUAUUAUCACACAAGUGUCAUGAUUAAGAUGAUUGAUAUGGGUGGGUACGCAUAUGGAAGGAAAUGCAGGAUUGCAUUUCAUUUCUUCUGUGGUAAUACUGGAGACGCCAAAGGUUCGCCACCGGCUCCAUGAGAUACUGCGGAAUGGGUUGGAAGGCGGAGUGAUCUCCGUCUUGCCCUCGAGCAUCUUCAGUUCUUGACCACCACGCUCAUUGACGGCCUCGGCUGCACGCACUAGAACACCACCUUGCACAUCCUCUCCACCAGCCCUCUGCAACGCGAUUCAUGGCGGACUGUUGCCACCAUGAGUUCCAUCAGCUCGCCAGCUUCGUACCUGGUCCAUGCGACCAUGAGGAACCAUUGCUGGCUGCUCUUCGGCGUGGCAUCGACAUCUUGGUUACUACCAUGCUUGACGAUCUUCAGGAGGAGCAUGCCGAAGCUGUAGACAUCACACUUCUCGGUGAUCCAAACCUCCAGUGCGGUGUGCCCAAAAGUGCUGCGUCCGCGGGACAGAGACGUGCGUGUCGCAACGGUUGACGAGGCUUGCGAGGCCAAAGUCGGCCACCUUGGGGCUUGGGCCUGAGGGUGCCGUCGAGGAGGUAUCUUGCUGUUGCUAACUUGAAUGGAUUUGUCAUUUUUGAAUAGCCUAACUUGUUCUUCCAAGGAUGGAUGAGUAAUAGAAAUAUCGCGAGUGUCAUUACCGGUGGCAAUCAGUUGGUCUGCGUUUUUGAGGGGGUGCUGGUGGAUACAAAAAUGCUUCUCCUGGGUCCUGGCAACUACGGUGGCGAUAGCCUGAAUCAAGGGGGUGGAGCACCUGCUAAGUGAUCUCAACCUUGAUGGUGCUUGCAAGGAGGAUGCUCUUUGCAAGGAGGUUUGAUGCGAGCACGAAGAGAAGCGAUGGUCACGAUGGCUUUCUUGGGGACGACUUCCAGGAUGAAGAUGACCAUGUCAGUCCCGUUAGAAGAAGCAGCACCGGCCGAAUAACUCUUAUGGAUUUGUUCUCCAUGACCACAUUGAUUUGCAUCAGCUGCUUGUUAUAUACUACUACUACUUGCUCUGUAAAUAGAUGUACUACGAAUAAGGGGGUUCGAUCGAGGGAGAACACAAUGCCAAAAGGUCAGCAGGGUUUACCCAAAUUGGUCGUUCAUUAACUCAUACUGGAGUAUAAUUUUUCAUUGCACAUGGACUAGUAGGUGGAAAAGACUGUACACCAGCACGUUGUUUCAUCUCAACAACACUGAUCAAGCUUUAUGCAA